AAAAAAGGUUAUCGAACUUCAGCGCGCUAUUGUAUGAUUUGUAUCUGAAUCGCUCUGCGUAUAUAAAUGAGAUUUUUUCAUAUUCGGAAAGAUCAGGCUUUUAGCUGUUGAACGAUGUGUUCUUCAUGCCAAAUGGAAAAAAAUGAGCAAAUACGAAUCCGAUAAAAAUAAACCAUGCAUUGAAAAUUAACCCCCUAUACAGGGUGUCCCAAAAAAAAGUGACACUAUAGAAAUUAUCCUAUUGUUAUAAUUUGAAUGCCCUAGCACUAAGAUGAUCCCACAGGUGCAUAAACUUGUGCUUCUGGAAUUUAAAAUAAAAAAGCAAAGCGUUUAUUAGUGUAAUCGUUUUGCUUGACUCGGGCGUUAAAAUAUUUGGACAUAACGAAAACGUUUUAAAAUGCUUAAAUGUAAAUACAAGUUCAUUAAAUUCCCAGGGGCCGGUUGUAUAAAAAAGUGAUUAAAGUUAACUAUGAUUAAGUGCAAACGUCAUCCAAUAGGAAGCGCCUAUUUGAGAGUUAAUCACUAUUUAACUACAAAAUAGUGAUUAAAAAAGUGAUUAAGAGUUUUAUACAACCGGCCCCAGGAGUGUAAUCACGCGCGU